GAGUUUGAUCCUGGCUCAGAUUGAACGCUGGCGGCAUGCCUUACACAUGCAAGUCGAACGGCAGCACGGGAGCUUGCUCCUGGUGGCGAGUGGCGAACGGGUGAGUAAUGCAUCGGAACGUAUCCUGGAGUGGGGGAUAACGUAGCGAAAGUUACGCUAAUACCGCAUAUUCUGCGAGCAGGAAAGCGGGGGACCUUCGGGCCUCGCGCUCUUGGAGCGGCCGAUGUCGGAUUAGCUAGUUGGUGAGGUAAAGGCUCACCAAGGCGACGAUCCGUAGCAGGUCUGAGAGGAUGAUCUGCCACACUGGAACUGAGACACGGUCCAGACUCCUACGGGAGGCAGCAGUGGGAAUUUUGGACAAUGGGGGCAACCCUGAUCCAGCCAUGCCGCGUGAGUGAAGAAGGCC
rnacentral:rRNA from 1 species